UACGUAGGGGGCAAGCGUUGUCCGGAUUUAUUGGGCGUAAAGAGCGUGUAGGCGGCUUUACAGGUCCGUUGUGAAAACUCGAGGCUCAACCUCGAGACGCCGGUGGAAACCGUAAAGCUAGAGUCCGGAAGAGGAGAGUGGAAUUCCUGGUGUAGCGGUGAAAUGCGCAGAUAUCAGGAGGAACACCCGUGGCGAAAGCGGCUCUCUGGACCGGUACUGACGCUGAGGCGCGAAAGCAUGGGGAGCGAACAGG
rnacentral:rRNA from 1 species